UAGGGAAUAUUGCACAAUGGGCGAAAGCCUGAUGCAGCAACGCCGCGUGUGCGAAGAAGGCCUUCGGGUCGUAAAGCACUUUUCUGAGAGAUGAGAAAGGACAGUAUCUCAGGAAUAAGUCUCGGCUAACUACGUGCCAGCAGCCGCGGUAAAACGUAGGAGGCAAGCGUUAUCCGGAUUCACUGGGCGUAAAGCGCGUGCAGGCGGUUCGGUAAGUUGGGCGUGAAAUCUCUUGGCUUAACUAAGAGAGGCCGUUCAAUACUACCGGGCUAGAGAGCAGUAGAGGAAGAUGGAAUUCCCGGUGUAGUGGUGAAAUGCGUAGAUAUCGGGAGGAACACCAGUGGCGAAAGCGAUCUUCUGGACUGUUUCUGACGCUCAGACGCGAAAGCUAGGGUAGUAACGGGAUUAGAGACCCCGGUAAUCCGUAGCCGUAAACGAUGUAAACUUGGCGUCGGUGGCUUAAACUCUGCCGGUGCCGCAG
rnacentral:rRNA from 1 species